rnacentral:misc_RNA from 1 species
AAGUCGUAACAAGGUCUCCGUUGGUGAACCAGCGGAGGGAUCAUUACUGAGUUAUUAAAACUCCAAACCCUUUGUGAACCUUACUGUCGUUGCCUCGGCGUGAGCUACGGCUACCCUGUAGUUACCCUAUAGCUACCCUGCAGCUACCCUAUAGUUGACCAGUGGCUACCCUGUAGCUACCCUAUAGCUACCCUGCAGCUACCCUAUAGUUGACCAGUAGCUACCCUGUAGCCGGCUUAUGGCCCGCCGAAGGACCGCUAAACUCUUGUUUUUUACCACUGUUUCUCUGAAUUGUAAACUUAAAUAAGUUAAAACUUUCAACAACGGAUCUCUUGGUUCUG